AUAACACAAAAUAACAACUACUUACGAACAUAUAGCAAAGAGUUUUUCCAAGCAAUCCUCGUCGAAACAAGAACUCGUUCCUAAUAAAAGGGUAUCAAUGACGUCUAAUUUUUCAUUGUUAGUUAUUGUGGAAUCGAUCAUUUUCAAUUUUUUUAAAAACCCAAAUGUCCAUACCGUUAACCACGGCUGUCAAUCCAGCAUUUUCACAUUCAGCAUAAAUCGAGUCCAAGUCGGAAUUUUCUUCAUCAUGAAUGUAUUUCUUUAAUCUAGAAAGAAGAUCCAACGACAUUGAGGCCACUGAAAGCCGAAUCUUUCUAUGUUACGAAUGAAAUAAAAGAUGGAUUUGGCGUACUACAUUCUAGUAGUCCUUGUAAACAAUAACCCCACCUAUAUGUCCUGUGUGGGGGUCCAUUUAUACUUUCUUACUAACAAAAAAGAGCUACGGUUAGUCAAAAUAUAAAAUAGGAGCUAGACUUAAUUGUUGCUAACCA